UUAAGUUAUUAAGGGCGCACGGUGGAUGCCUUGGCACUAGAAGCCGAUGAAGGACGUUACUAACGACGAUAUGCUUUGGGGAGCUGUAAGUAAGCUUUGAUCCAGAGAUUUCCGAAUGGGGAAACCCANUCGAUUCCCUUAGUAGCGGCGAGCGAAACGGGAAGAGCCCAAACCAACAAGCUUGCUUGUUGGGGUUGUAGGACACUCUAUACGGAGUUACAAAGGACGACAUUAGACGAAUCAUCUGGAAAGAUGAAUCAAAGAAGGUAAUAAUCCUGUAGUCGAAAAUGUUGUCUCUCUUGAGUGGAUCCUGAGUACGACGGAGCACGUGAAAUUCCGUCGGAAUCUGGGAGGACCAUCUCCUAAGGCUAAAUACUCUCUAGUGACCGAUAGUGAACCAGUACCGUGAGGGAAAGGUGAAAAGCACCCCGGAAGGGGAGUGAAAUAGAACCUGAAACCGUGUGCUUACAAGUAGUCAGAGCCCGUUAAUGGGUGAUGGCGUGCCUUUUGUAGAAUGAACCGGCGAGUUACGAUUUGAUGCAAGGUUAAGCAGUAAAUGUGGAGCCGUAGCGAAAGCGAGUCUGAAUAGGGCGUUUAGUAUUUGGUCGUAGACCCGAAACCAGGUGAUCUACCCUUGGUCAGGUUGAAGUUCAGGUAACACUGAAUGGAGGACCGAACCGACUUACGUUGAAAAGUGAGCGGAUGAACUGAGGGUAGCGGAGAAAUUCCAAUCGAACCUGGAGAUAGCUGGUUCUCUCCGAAAUAGCUUUAGGGCUAGCCUCAAGUGAUGAUUAUUGGAGGUAGAGCACUGUUUGGACGAGGGGCCCCUCUCGGGUUACCGAAUUCAGACAAACUCCGAAUGCCAAUUAAUUUAACUUGGGAGUCAGAACAUGGGUGAUAAGGUCCGUGUUCGAAAGGGAAACAGCCCAGACCACCAGCUAAGGUCCCAAAAUAUAUGUUAAGUGGAAAAGGAUGUGGCGUUGCCCAGACAACUAGGAUGUUGGCUUAGAAGCAGCCAUCAUUUAAAGAGUGCGUAAUAGCUCACUAGUCGAGUGACACUGCGCCGAAAAUGUACCGGGGCUAAACAUAUUACCGAAGCUGUGGAUUGUCCUUUGGACAAUGGUAGGAGAGCGUUCUAAGGGCGUUGAAGCAUGAUCGUAAGGACAUGUGGAGCGCUUAGAAGUGAGAAUGCCGGUGUGAGUAGCGAAAGACGGGUGAGAAUCCCGUCCACCGAUUGACUAAGGUUUCCAGAGGAAGGCUCGUCCGCUCUGGGUUAGUCGGGUCCUAAGCUGAGGCCGACAGGCGUAGGCGAUGGAUAACAGGUUGAUAUUCCUGUACCACCUAUAAUCGUUUUAAUCGAUGGGGGGACGCAGUAGGAUAGGCGAAGCGUGCGAUUGGAUUGCACGUCUAAGCAGUAAGGCUGAGUAUUAGGCAAAUCCGGUACUCGUUAAGGCUGAGCUGUGAUGGGGAGAAGACAUUGUGUCUUCGAGUCGUUGAUUUCACACUGCCGAGAAAAGCCUCUAGAUAGAAAAUAGGUGCCCGUACCGCAAACCGACACAGGUAGUCAAGAUGAGAAUUCUAAGGUGAGCGAGCGAACUCUCGUUAAGGAACUCGGCAAAAUGACCCCGUAACUUCGGGAGAAGGGGUGCUCUUUAGGGUUAACGCCCAGAAGAGCCGCAGUGAAUAGGCCCAAGCGACUGUUUAUCAAAAACACAGGUCUCUGCUAAACCGUAAGGUGAUGUAUAGGGGCUGACGCCUGCCCGGUGCUGGAAGGUUAAGAGGAGUGGUUAGCUUCUGCGAAGCUACGAAUCGAAGCCCCAGUAAACGGCGGCCGUAACUAUAACGGUCCUAAGGUAGCGAAAUUCCUUGUCGGGUAAGUUCCGACCCGCACGAAAGGCGUAACGAUUUGGGCACUGUCUCAACGAGAGACUCGGUGAAAUCAUAGUACCUGUGAAGAUGCAGGUUACCCGCGACAGGACGGAAAGACCCCGUGGAGCUUUACUGUAGCCUGAUAUUGAAAUUCGGCACAGCUUGUACAGGAUAGGUAGGAGCCUUUGAAACGUGAGCGCUAGCUUACGUGGAGGCGCUGGUGGGAUACAGUGUCAGGCGGGCAGUUUGACUGGGGCGGUCGCCUCCUAAAAGGUAACGGAGGCGCUCAAAGGUUCCCUCAGAAUGGUUGGAAAUCAUUCAUAGAGUGUAAAGGCAUAAGGGAGCUUGACUGCGAGACCUACAAGUCGAGCAGGGUCGAAAGACGGACUUAGUGAUCCGGUGGUUCCGCAUGGAAGGGCCAUCGCUCAACGGAUAAAAGCUACCCCGGGGAUAACAGGCUUAUCUCCCCCAAGAGUUCACAUCGACGGGGAGGUUUGGCACCUCGAUGUCGGCUCAUCGCAUCCUGGGGCUGUAGUCGGUCCCAAGGGUUGGGCUGUUCGCCCAUUAAAGCGGUACGCGAGCUGGGUUCAGAACGUCGUGAGACAGUUCGGUCCCUAUCCGUCGUGGGCGUAGGAAAUUUGAGAGGAGCUGUCCUUAGUACGAGAGGACCGGGAUGGACAUACCUCUGGUGUACCAGUUGUCGUGCCAACGGCAUAGCUGGGUAGCUAUGUGUGGACGGGAUAAGUGCUGAAAGCAUCUAAGCAUGAAGCCCCCCUCAAGAUGAGAUUUCCCAACUUCGGUUAUAAGAUCCCUCAAAGAUGAUGAGGUUAAUAGGUUCGAGGUGGAAGCAUGGUGACAUGUGGAGCUGACGAAUACUAAUCGAUCGAAGACUUAAUCAA
rnacentral:rRNA from 1 species